UGGGGAAUUUUGCGCAAUGGGGGAAACCCUGACGCAGCAACGCCGCGUGGAGGAUGAAGUCCCUUGGGACGUAAACUCCUUUCGAUCGGGACGAAUCGUCCGCGACCUAAUACGUCGCGGGACUGACGGUACCGAGAGAAGAAGCCCCGGCUAACUCCGUGCCAGCAGCCGCGGUAAUACGGGGGGGGCAAGCGUUGUUCGGAAUUACUGGGCGUAAAGGGCGCGUAGGCGGCCUUCUAAGUCGGACGUGAAAUCCCUCGGCUCAACCGGGGAACUGCGUCCGAUACUGGAGGGCUCGAAUCCGGGAGAGGGAUGUGGAAUUCCAGGUGUAGCGGUGAAAUGCGUAGAUAUCUGGAGGAACACCGGUGGCGAAGGCGGCAUCCUGGACCGGCAUUGACGCUGAGGCGCGAAAGCCAGGGGAGCAAA
rnacentral:rRNA from 1 species